UACGGAGGGGGCUAGCGUUGUUCGGAAUUACUGGGCAUAAAGCGCGCGUAGGCGGACCUGCAAGUCGGGGGUGAAAGCCCGAGGCUCAACCUCGGAACUGCCUUCGAUACUGCGGGUCUCGAGUCCGGGAGAGGUGAGUGGAAUUCCUAGUGUAGAGGUGAAAUUCGUAGAUAUUAGGAAGAACACCAGUGGCGAAGGCGACUCACUGGACACGUAUUGACGCUGAGGUGCGAAAGCGUGGGGAGCAAACAGG
rnacentral:rRNA from 1 species